GUCCUUUAGAAGAAAAAUUAAAGGUCUAAUCUGCCCAAUGAUAAUUGAAUGGCCGCGGUAACUUGACCGUGCAAAGGUAGCAUAAUUAUUAGUCUUUUAAUUGAAGGCUUGAAUGAAAGAUUGGAUGAAAAAUAAACUUUAUUAAUAAAAAUUAUUUAAUUUAUUAUUUAAGUAAAAAUUCUUAAAUAUACAAGUGGGACGAGAAGACCCUAUAGAGUUUUAUUUUUAUUUUUAUUAUAAUAUUAAAGGAUUAAUAUUUUUAUAUUAAAAAUAAAUUUUUUAUUGGGGUGAUAUUAAAAAUUAUUGAACUUUUAGUUAAUAUUCCAUUAAUAUAUGUAUCAUUGAUCCAAAAUAAAUUUUUGAAUAUAAGACUUAAUUACCUUAGGGAUAACAGCGUUAUUAAUUUGAAGAGUUCAAAUCGAUAAAUUAGUUUGCGACCUCGAUGUUGGAUUAAGAAUGAAUUUUGAAGUAGCGUUUAAAACAAUAGGUCUGUUCGACCUUUAAAUUCUUACGUGAUCUGAG
rnacentral:rRNA from 1 species